UGUUGUCCCACGAUUAACAUGAUUUUCAUGGGAUAAAUUUUAAGAGGAAGUUUUCUCUGUGUACGAUAUAUUGCAUUACAGCAGUACAAUAAUUUUGUUGGGAAAUUUUAUUCAACUAUAAUAUUAUUCGUACCAUAAUACUGCUCUUUGCUGUUUAUUCUAAAGACUAUCUCAAAUUACGUAAUAUUACUGAAUAGAAAUUUUACACGAAUAAUAAUAUCGCGAAUAAAUAAAUCGCGAGAAUCAAAUAGAGAACACAGGAUAUAAAUCGUAUCGAGAGUGCCGAAUUAAGUAUCGGGCGUUAACAAUCGUGAUCAGUGCAAUUUACAACAUAAAAUUUUUGUGAGUGAGUAAUUUGUGAAGUUCGAGUAAAUUUGUCAUCAACGAAGGAGCUGGCAGAAUUGCAGCGGCGACAAUGGAUGCAGCUAAAAUGAUGGCAGAGACACUUUCUCAUCGGAGUGACUUUCUAAACCCGGACAAACAUCAGGACUUUGGAUGGACGGGAACGGAGGAGAGCAGGACUGUAGAAAAAAUGCGGAGAGCUCGAAUUAAAUCAAAACGAUACACGAGAUGAUGGUCGUGACCACGGAGCUCAGGCCAACAAAGAUCCCGAAUCUGAAGAGCAUGGUGCGCCUGACGGAUCGGG